AUUGAACGCUGGCGGCAUGCCUUACACAUGCAAGUCGAACGGCAGCACGGGUGCUUGCACCUGGUGGCGAGUGGCGAACGGGUGAGUAAUACAUCGGAACAUGUCCUGUAGUGGGGGAUAGCCCGGCGAAAGCCGGAUUAAUACCGCAUACGAUCCACGGAUGAAAGCGGGGGACCUUCGGGCCUCGCGCUAUAGGGUUGGCCGAUGGCUGAUUAGCUAGUUGGUGGGGUAAAGGCCUACCAAGGCGACGAUCAGUAGCUGGUCUGAGAGGACGACCAGCCACACUGGGACUGAGACACGGCCCAGACUCCUACGGGAGGCAGCAGUGGGGAAUUUUGGACAAUGGGCGAAAGCCUGAUCCAGCAAUGCCGCGUGUGUGAAGAAGGCCUUCGGGUUGUAAAGCACUUUUGUCCGGAAAGAAAUCCUUGGCUCUAAUACAGUCGGGGGAUGACGGUACCGGAGAAUAAGCACCGGCUAACUACGUG
rnacentral:rRNA from 1 species